UUUUUUGAGAGUUUGAUCCUGGCUCAGGAUGAACGCUGGCGGCGUGCCUUAAGCAUGCAAGUCGAACGGAAAAGUAAUUCUCGCAAGAGAAAAAUAGAUCAGUGGCGGACGGGUGAGUAGAAGCAGGGAACGUACCCUUUACUGUGGGACAGCUCGUCGAAAGACGGGGUAAUACCGCAUGAGGCCGUAAGGUCAAAGACCGCAAGGUCGGUGGAGGAGCGGCCCUGCACUUAUCAGCUAGUUGGUGGGGUAAAGGCCUACCAAGGCGACGACGAGUAGGGGGUGUGAGAGCAUGACCCCCCACAAUGGCACUGAGACACGGGCCAUACAUCUACGGAUGGCAGCAACUGGGAAUAUUCGGCAAUGGACGAAAGUCUGACCGAGCGACGCCGCGUGAGGGAUGAAGUAUUUCGGUAUGUAAACCUCUUUUAUAUAGCCGUCGAGGCUAUAAGAAUAAGCACCUACAAACUACGUGCCAGCAGUCGCGGUAAUACGUAGGGUGCAAGCGUUAUCCGGAUUCACUGGGCGUAAAGAGUAGUGUAGGUGGUAGACCGCAUCGUACUUGAAAGCCCGAGGCUUAACCUCGGCGUUGGGUACGAGAUGGGUAUACUCGAGGGUGAGAGAGGAAAGGGGAACUCAUGGUGGAGCGGUGAAAUGCGUUGAGAUCAUGAGGAACACCAAAGGCGAAGGCACCUUUCUGGGUCAUUCCUGACACUGAGACACGAAAGCUAGAGGAGAGAAGCAGAUUAGAGACCUGCGUAUUUCUAGCCCUAAACGCAUGCCUGCUAGAUACCCCGUUCUGCGGGGCGACG
rnacentral:rRNA from 1 species